UACGAAGGGGGCUAGCGUUGCUCGGAAUCACUGGGCGUAAAGCGCACGUAGGCGGAUCUUUAAGUCAGGGGUGAAAUCCUGGAGCUCAACUCCAGAACUGCCUUUGAUACUGGGGAUCUCGAGUCCGGGAGAGGUGAGUGGAACUCCGAGUGUAGAGGUGAAAUUCGUAGAUAUUCGGAAGAACACCAGUGGCGAAGGCGGCUCACUGGCCCGGUACUGACGCUGAGGUGCGAAAGCGUGGGGGAGCAAACAGG
rnacentral:rRNA from 1 species